CGCGUAGGCGGUUUGUAAGUCAGAUGUGAAAGCCCGGGGCUUAACCCCGGAAGUGCAUUUGAUACUGCAAGACUUGAGUAUGGGAGAGGGUAGUGGAAUUCCUGGUGUAGAGGUGAAAUUCGUAGAUAUCAGGAGGAACACCGGUGGCGAAGGCGGCUACCUGGACCAAUACUGACGCUGAGGCGCGAAGGCGUGGGGAGCAAACA
rnacentral:rRNA from 1 species